rnacentral:rRNA from 1 species
UGUUGGGGCAGCCUACCAUGCAGUCGAGCGCCCUGCUUGCAAGGCAGCGGCUCACGGCUGAGUAAUGCAUGGGAAUCUACCCAGCUCUGCGGAAUAACUCAGGGAAACUUGAACUAAUACCGGAUGCGCCCUUCGGGGGAAAGAUUUAUCGGAGUUGGAUGAGCCCAUGUCUGAUUAGCUAGUUGGUGGGGUAAAGGCCUACCAGGGCGACUAUCAGUAGCUGGUCUGGGAGGAUGAUCAGCCACUCUGGGACUGAGACACGGCCCAGACUCCUACGGGAGGCAGCAGUGGGGAAUAUUGGACAAUGGGCGCAAGCCUGAUCCAGCCAUGCCGCGUGAGUGAUGAAGGCCCUAGGGUUGUAAAGCUCUUUCACCGGUGAAGAUAAUGACUGUAACCGGAGAAGAAGCCCCGGCUAACUUCGUGCCAGCAGCCGCGGUAAUACUAAGGGGGCUAGCGUUGUUCCGAAUUACUGGGCGUAAAGCGCGCGUACGCGGAUCGGUCAGUUAGGGGUGAAAUCCCGGGGCUCAACCCCGGAACUGCCUCUAAUACUGCCGAUCUACAGUUCGAGAGAGGUGAGUGGAAUUCCUAGUGUAGAGGUGAAAUUCGUAGAUAUUCGGAGGAACACCAGUGGCGAAGGCGUCUCACUGGCUCGAUACUGACCCUGAAGUGCGAAAGCAUGAGGAGCAAACAGGAUUACAUACCCUGGUAAUCCACGCCGUAAAACGAUGGAAAGCUAGCCGUUGGCAGGUUUACCUGUCCGUGGCGCAGUCUAACGCAUUUAACCUUCCCGCCUGGGGAGUACGGUCGCAAGAUUAAGACUAACAGGAAUUAGACGGGGGCCCGCACAAGCGUGUGGGAGCAUGUGGGUUUAAUUCAAAACACCACUCAAACCCUUACCACCCCUUGACAUCCCGACCCUGUUACCAAAUUUGGGUUUCCCUUCAAAUAGCCUGAAUCUGACAUAGGGUCUGCAUGCUGUCCUAGACUCCAGUCGGGUAUUGGUGAGUUAGUUCCGCAACUA